AGUGAACGCUGGCGGUAGGCCUAACACAUGCCAGUCGAACGGCAACACAGUAAGAGCUUGCUCUUACGGGUGGCGAGUGGCGGACGGGUGAGGAAUACAUCGGAAUCUACUUUUUCGUGGGGGAUAACGUAGGGAAACUUACGCUAAUACCGCAUACGACCUACGGGUGAAAGCAGGGGAUCUUCGCACCUUGCGCGAUUGAAUGAGCCGAUGUCGUAUUAGCUAGUUGGCGGGGUAAAGGCCCACCAAGGCGACGAUCCGUAGCUGGUCUGAGAGGAUGAUCAGCCACACUGGAACUGAGACACGGUCCAGACUCCUACGGGAGGCAGCAGUGGGGAAUAUUGGACAAUGGGCGCAAGCCUGAUCCAGCCAUACCGCGUGGGUGAAGAAGGCCUCCGGGUUGUAAAGCCCUUUUGUUGGGAAAGAAAAGCAGCAGGUUAAUACCCCGCUGUUCUGACGGUACCCAAAGAAUAAGCACCGGCUAACUUCGUG
rnacentral:rRNA from 1 species